CGGCGGCCGUAACUAUAACGGUCCUAAGGUAGCGAAAUUCCUUGUCGGGUAAGUUCCGACCUGCACGAAUGGCGUAAUGAUGGCCACGCUGUCUCCACCCGAGACUCAGUGAAAUUGAAAUCGCUGUGAAGAUGCAGUGUACCCGCGGCUAGACGGAAAGACCCCGUGAACCUUUACUACAGCUUGGCACUGAACAUUGACCCUACAUGUGUAGGAUAGGUGGGAGGCUUUGAAGCAGGUACGCCAGUAUGUGUGGAGCCGUCCUUGAAAUACCACCCUUGUAGUGUUGAUGUUCUAACGUUGACCCCUUAUCGGGGUUGCGGACAGUGCCUGGUGGGUAGUUUGACUGGGGCGGUCUCCUCCCAAAGAGUAACGGAGGAGCACGAAGGUGGGCUAAUCACGGUUGGACAUCGUGAGGUUAGUGCAAUGGCAUAAGCCCGCUU
rnacentral:rRNA from 1 species